AUGAACAAAAUACUAAUAAGCUUUCAAAAGAGUUCUUCCACUGGAAGAUAUCUAAAGAGAUGUCCAGAAGUAAAGGAGCAUUGUGAAACCCCAAAGCUCUGGUUUUCCUGUGAAGGAACCACUUUGGGCUGUGUCCCACCUCAACUGCAUGGGCAAAUGCAUUGAG
rnacentral:lncRNA from 1 species